rnacentral:rRNA from 1 species
AAUGAACGUUGGCGGCGUGGAUUAGGCAUGCAAGUCGUACGGGGAGCAAUCCGUCGUGGCGCAAGGGUGAGUAAGGCGACGGUAACCUACCCCAGGGCUGACUAUAGCCGCGGGAAACCGCGGGUAAUGGUCAGCGACGUGGCCCGGGAGGCAUCUCCUGGCCACCAAAGGUGUUGAUUCCGCCCUGGGACGGGCCGUCGUGGUAUUAGGUAGUUGGCGGGGUGAUGGCCCACCAAGCCUCUGAUGCCUACCGGGCGUGCGAGCGUGGCCCGGCACACUGGGACU